ACUCCUACGGGAGGCAGCAGUGGGGAAUAUUGCACAAUGGGGGAAACCCUGAUGCAGCCAUGCCGCGUGUGUGAAGAAGGCCUCGGGUUGUAAAGCACUUUCAGUAGGGAGGAAGGUAGUGUAGUUAACACCUGCACUAUUUGACGUUACCUACAGAAGAAGCACCGGCUAACUCCGUGCCAGCAGCCGCGGUAAUACGGAGGGUGCGAGCGUUAAUCGGAAUUACUGGGCGUAAAGCGCAUGCAGGCGGCCUGUUAAGUCAGAUGUGAAAGCCCGGGGCUUAACCUCGGAAUUGCAUUUGAAACUGGCAGGCUAGAGUCUUGUAGAGGGGGGUAGAAUUUCAGGUGUAGCGGUGAAAUGCGUAGAGAUCUGAAGGAAUACCAGUGGCGAAGGCGGCCCCCUGGACAAAGACUGACGCUCAGAUGCGAAAGCUGGGGAGCAAACAGGAUUAGAUACCCUGGGAGCACAGAG
rnacentral:rRNA from 1 species